GACGAACGCUGGCGGCGUGCCUAAUACAUGCAAGUAGGACGCAGUUGCGAACGGGUGAGUAACGCGUAGGUAACUGCCUAUUAGAGGGGGAUAACUAUUGGAAACGAUAGCUAAUACCGCAUACUAGUAGAUGGACCUGCGUUGUAUUAGCUAGUAGGUUGGGUAAUGGCCUACCUAGGCGACGAUACAUAGCCGACCUGGGAGGGUGAUCUGCCCAACUUGGACUGGUACACGGCCCAGACUCCUUCGGGGGGCAGCAGUAGGGGAUCGUCGGCAAUUGGGGGAAAGCUGACCGAGCAACGCCGGGGGAGUGGAGAAGGGUUUCGGAUCGUAAAGCUCUGUUGUUAAGGAAGCGGUACUUAACCAGAAAGGGACGGCUAACUACGUGCCAGCAGCCGCGGUAAUAC
rnacentral:rRNA from 1 species